AAAUCCGGUUCACUUUAACACUGAGGCGUGACGACGAGGCACUACGGUGCUGAAGCAACAAAUGCCCUGCUUCCAGGAAAAGCCUCUAAGCAUCAGGUAACAUCAAAUCGUACCCCAAACCGACACAGGUGGUCAGGUAGAGAAUACCAAGGCGCUUGAGAGAACUCGGGUGAAGGAACUAGGCAAAAUGGUGCCGUAACUUCGGGAGAAGGCACGCUGACACGUAGGUGAAGUGAUUUACUCAUGGAGCUGAAGUCAGUCGAAGAUACCAGCUGGCUGCAACUGUUUAUUAAAAACACAGCACUGUGCAAACACGAAAGUGGACGUAUACGGUGUGACGCCUGCCCGGUGCCGGAAGGUUAAUUGAUGGGGUCAGCGCAAGCGAAGCUCCUGAUCGAAGCCCCGGUAAACGGCGGCCGUAACUAUAACGGUCCUAAGGUAGCGAAAUUCCUUGUCGGGUAAGUUCCGACCUGCACGAAUGGCGUAAUGAUGGCCAGGCUGUCUCCACCCGAGACUCAGUGAAAUUGAACUCGCUGUGAAGAUGCAGUGUACCCGCGGCAAGACGGAAAGACCCCGUGAACCUUUACUAUAGCUUGACACUGAACAUUGAGCCUUGAUGUGUAGGAUAGGUGGGAGGCUUUGAAGUGUGGACGCCAGUCUGCAUGGAGCCGACCUUGAAAUACCACCCUUUAAUGUUUGAUGUUCUAACGUGGACCCGUUACCCGGGUUGCGGACAGUGUCUGGUGGGUAGUUUGACUGGGGCGGUCUCCUCCUAAAGAGUAACGGAGGAGCACGAAGGUUGGCUAAUCCUGGUCGGACAUCAGGAGGUUAGUGCAAUGGCAUAAGCCAGCUUGACUGCGAGCGUGACGGCGCGAGCAGGUGCGAAAGCAGGUCAUAGUGAUCCGGUGGUUCUGAAUGGAAGGGCCAUCGCUCAACGGAUAAAAGGUACUCCGGGGAUAACAGGCUGAUACCGCCCAAGAGUUCAUAUCGACGGCGGUGUUUGGCACCUCGAUGUCGGCUCAUCACAUCCUGGGGCUGAAGUAGGUCCCAAGGGUAUGGCUGUUCGCCAUUUAAAGUGGUACGCGAGCUGGGUUUAGAACGUCGUGAGACAGUUCGGUCCCUAUCUGCCGUGGGCGCUGGAGAACUGAGGGGGGCUGCUCCUAGUACGAGAGGACCGGAGUGGACGCAUCACUGGUGUUCGGGUUGUCAUGCCAAUGGCACUGCCCGGUAGCUAAAUGCGGAAGAGAUAAGUGCUGAAAGCAUCUAAGCACGAAACUUGCCCCGAGAUGAGUUCUCCCUGAGACUUAAAGUCUCCUGAAGGAACGUUGAAG
rnacentral:rRNA from 1 species